rnacentral:rRNA from 1 species
UAACACGUAUGCAACCUGCCCUCUUCAGGGGGACAACCUUCCGAAAGGGAGGCUAAUCCCGCGUAUAUCGGUUUCGGGCAUCCGAGAUCGAGGAAAGAUUCAUCGGAAGAGGAUGGGCAUGCGGCGCAUUAGCUUGACGGCGGGGUAACGGCCCACCGUGGCGACGAUGCGUAGGGGUUCUGAGAGGAAGGUCCCCCACACUGGUACUGAGACACGGACCAGACUCCUACGGGAGGCAGCAGUGAGGAAUAUUGGUCAAUGGGAGAGAUCCUGAACCAGCCAAGCCGCGUGAGGGAAGACGGCCCUAUGGGUUGUAAACCUCUUUUGUCGGAGAACAAAACCCGGGACGUGUCCCGGACUGCGUGUAUCCGAAGAAAAAGCAUCGGCUAACUCCGUGCCAGCAGCCGCGGUAAUACGGAGGAUGCGAGCGUUAUCCGGAUUUAUUGGGUUUAAAGGGUGCGUAGGCGGUCCGUUAAGUCAGCGGUAAAAUUGCGGGGCUCAACCCCGUCGAGCCGUUGAAACUGGCAGACUUGAGUUGGCGAGAAGUACGCGGAAUGCGCGGUGUAGCGGUGAAAUGCAUAGAUAUUGCGCAGAACUCCGAUUGCGAAGGCAGCGUACCGGCGCCACACUGACGCUGAGGCACGAAAGCGUGGGGAUCGAACGGGAUUAGAUACCCUGGUAGUCCACGCAGUAAACGAUGAAUGCUGGUUGU